GACGAACGCUGGCGGCGUGCUUAACACAUGCAAGUCGAACGGAAAGGCCCCUUUGGGGGUACUCGAGUGGCGCACGGGUGAGUAACACGUGAGUAACCUGCCCUUGACUUCGGGAUAACUUCAGGAAACUGGGGCUAAUACCGGAUAGGAAUCCUUGCUGCAUGGUGGGGGUUGGAAAGCUUCGGCGGUUUUGGAUGGACUCGCGGCUUAUCAGCUUGUUGGUGGGGUAGUGGCUUACCAAGGCUUUGACGGGUAGCCGGCCUGAGAGGGCGACCGGCCACAUUGGGACUGAGAUACGGCCCAGACCCCGACGGGAGGCAGCAGGGGGGAAUAUUGCACAAUGGGCGGAAGCCUGAUGCAGCAACGCCGGGGGCGGGAUGACGGCCUUCGGGUUGUAAACCGCUUUCAGAGGGGGCGAAGCUUGUGGUGACGGUACCUGCAAAAAAAGCACCGGCUAACUACGU
rnacentral:rRNA from 1 species